CCUACGGGAGGCAGCAGUGGGGAAUAUUGCACAAUGGGGGAAACCCUGAUGCAGCGAAGCCGCGUGAGUGAAGAAGUAAUUAGUUAUGUAAAGCUCUAUCAGUCGGGAAGCAAAUGACGGUACCUGAGUAAGAAGCCGCGGCUAACUACGUGCCAGCAGCCGCGGUAAUACGUAGGGGGCAAGCGUUAUCCGGAUUUACUGGGUGUAAAGGGAGCGUAGACGGAAGUGCAAGUCUGGAGGUAAAGGCGGGGGCUCAACCCCCGGACUGCUCUGGAAACUGUACGGCUGGAGUGCAGGAGAGGUAAGUGGAAUUCCUAGUGUAGCGGUGAAAUGCGUAGAUAUUAGGAGGAACACCAGUUGCGAAGGCAGCUUACUGGACUGUAACUGACGUUGAUGCUCGAAAGCGUGGGUAUCAAACAGGAUUAGAUACCCCAGUAGUC
rnacentral:rRNA from 1 species